rnacentral:lncRNA from 1 species
GCUACCCGUUGGAGCGCCGCGGCCGCGGUCGCAACAGGCGCCGUUCCCUGGCGGGACUCCAGAGCCCGUCGGCCACGCCCUGGGUCUUCUUCGGAGGGGGGUUCUGGACGCACCCAGAACCUCGGCUUCCGCGCUGCCGGGAACGCCCGGGAGGGAGUGCCUAGUCGAGAGGCGUGGCGGAGAGUGCGGGGAGGGGGCGCUGGCCCCAGCCUUUGGCCAACUUCAGUGGUUUGCCCACUAGUAUUGUUUUAAGAAAAUGGCAGACAAGCCGGACAUGGGGGAAAUCGCCAGCUUCGAUAAGGCCAAGCUGAAGAAAACCGAGACGCAGGAGAAGAACACCCUGCCGACCAAAGAGAGUAAGUGCGCCCCAGCCUCCGGGUCCGUGGCCUCCAUGCGCAGUCCCCCUACCCGCCCUUCCCGUGCCAACCGUACCCCCACCCGGCCAAUGCCCCUGGUUUGGGCGGCCCCUGCUACCUUUAAGGUUACACAAAGUGCUCUGUCUCCCCCGCCCCAAGCCUCUUAACUCCCAGACCUGGUGGGUGCCUCAUUCACAUCAGGUUUUGGAGUGCAUCGCUUGUGGGGAUUGUAAGGUGCUUCAACCCCCAGUGCCCGCUUACCGCUCUCCGCAGCCAUUGAGCAGGAAAAGCGGAGUGAAAUUUCCUAAGAGCCUAGAGGAUUCCCCACCCCCAUCAUCUCUGAGACCCCCGUCGUGAUGUGGAGGAAGAGCCACCUGCAAGAUGGACACGAGCCACAAGCUGCACUGUGAACCCAGGCACUCCGCGCCGAUGCCACCGGCCUGUUGGUACCUGAGGGGACACCCAAUCGGACUGCCAAAUUCUCCGGUUUGCCCUGGGAUAUUAUAGAAAAUUAUUUGUAUGAUUAAUUAAAAUAAAACACCUCGUGGCAUGGCUAGCGUGGUCUGAA